rnacentral:rRNA from 1 species
CCUACGGGUGGCAGCAGUGGGGAAUAUUGCACAAUGGGCGAAAGCCUGAUGCAGCAACGCCGCGUGAGCGAUGAAGGCCUUAGGGUCGUAAAGCUCUGUCCGCAAGGAGGAUAAUGACGGUACUUGAGGCGGAAGCCCCGGCUAACUACGUGCAAGCAGCCGCGGUAAUACGUAGGGGGCUGGCGUUAUCCGGAAUUACGGGGCGUAAAGGGUGCGUAGGUGGUUUCUUAGGUCAGUGGUGAAAGGCUACGGCUCAAUCGUAGUAAGCCUUUGAAACUGGGAAACUUGAGUGCAGGAGAGGAGAGUGGAAUUCCUAGUGUAGCGGUGAAAUGCGUAGAUAUUAGGCGGAACACCAGUUGCGAAGGCGGCUCUCUGGGCUGUAACUGACACUGAGGCACGAAAGCGUGGGGAGCAAACAGGAUUAGAUACCCUUGUAGUC